rnacentral:rRNA from 2 species
CAGCAAGGAUUACAAAGUGAUAUAGACGAAUGGGAUUGAAAGCCCAGCCAUAGACGGUGCCAGCCCGGUAGUCGAAAUGUUGCAAUGGUCCGAAGAGUAUCCCAAGUAGCACGGGGCCCGAGAAAUCCCGUGUGAAUCUGUCAGGACCACCUGAUAAGCCUAAAUACUUCCAGAUGACCGAUAGCGGACAAGUACCGUGAGGGAAAGGUGCAAAGUACCCCGGGAGGGGAGUGAAAUAGUACCUGAAACCGUUUGCUUACAAACCGUUGGAGCAGCCUUAGUAGCUGUGACAGCGUGCCUUUUGAAGAAUGAGCCUGCGAGUUAGUGAUCAGUGGCGAGGUUAACCCGUGUGGGGC